rnacentral:rRNA from 1 species
GAUGAACGCUGGCGGCGUGCCUAAUACAUGCAAGUCGAGCGAAUGGAUUAAGAGCUUGCUCUUAUGAAGUUAGCGGCGGACGGGUGAGUAACACGUGAGUAACCUGCCCAUAAGACUGGGAUAACUCCGGGAAACCGGGGCUAAUACCGGAUAACAUUUUGAACCGCAUGGUUCGAAAUUGAAAGGCGGCUUCGGCUGUCACUUAUGGAUGGACCCGCGUAGCAUUAGCUAGUUGGUGAGGUAACGGCUCACCAAGGCAACGAUGCGUAGCCGACCUGAGAGGGUGAUCGGCCACACUGGGACUGAGACACGGCCCAGACUCCUACGGGAGGCAGCAGUAGGGAAUCUUCCGCAAUGGACGAAAGUCUGGCGGAGCAACGUCGCGUGAGUGAUGAAGGCUUUCGGGUCGUAAAACUCUGUUGUUAGGGAAGAACAAGUGCUAGUUGAAUAAGCUGGCACCUUGACGGUACCUAACCAGAAAGCCACGGCUAACUACGUGCCAGCCGCCGCGGUAA